AAGUCGUAACAAGGUUUCCGUAGGUGAACCUGCGGAAGGAUCAUUAUCACGUAUCCAAACGUAUCAACCAUUGUGAACUGUAUUGACCUGUAGAUUACAAGAGGUAGUGUUAAUAGUAGCAUUAUGAAUAACGUUUUAUUGUUGAUUUGAGUUAUUCGUUAUUAUUAACCCAAUGGUAUUUCGAUACUGUUACUCUUUUUAUCUAUAGUGUAUUUUUCAAAUCACUUUAAUCAUUAACAAUUUAAAUUUAAAAACAAUUUAUAAUUUGAACUGAUUUAAUUUCUUUUCUCUUAAAUUUAUUUUUAAGAGACUGAAAUAAUAUUACGAAACAUAAGAACAACUCUUAGCAACGGAUAUCUUGGUUCUCGUAACGAUAAGAACGCAGC
rnacentral:misc_RNA from 1 species